rnacentral:rRNA from 1 species
GACGAAUGCUGGCGGCGCGCCUAACACAUGCAAGUCGAACGGGAUUUACGAUUGGAAGCUUCGGUGGAAGAUUGUAAUAUCUAGUGGCGGACGGGUGAGUAACACGUGAGCAACCUACCCUGGAGUGGGGAAUAACAUUCGGAAACGGAUGCUAAUACCGCAUGAUGUCAUUGGGAAGCAUUUUCCUUUGACCAAAGAUUUAUCGCUCUGGGAUGGGCUCGCGCCUGAUUAGCUAGUUGGUGAGGUAAUGGCUCACCAAGGCAACGAUCAGUAGCCGGACUGAGAGGUUGAUCGGCCACAUUGGGACUGAGACACGGCCCAGACUCCUACGGGAGGCAGCAGUGGGGGAUAUUGCACAAUGGAGGAAACUCUGAUGCAGCGACGCCGCGUGAACGACGACGGUCUUCGGAUUGUAAAGUUCUGUCAACGGGGACGAUAAUGACGGUACCCGUGGAGGAAGCCACGGCUAACUACGUGGCAGCCGCCGCCGUAAC